GGCAGCAGCUAUAUCAUCUGCAGUUUAGACUAGAUGAUCCAUCUGAAGCUAACCAGGCUUAGGCCUGGCCAGUACUUGGAUGGGACACCAACUCGGAAAGCUAGGUUGCCGCUGGAA
rnacentral:rRNA from 1 species